GCGAUGUUUGGGGACCAACAGCGGUUGCCAGGGGUGACGCCGUCCCCUCCCGGUCUCCUCCCGUUGCCAGGCGACGCGGGGAGCGUUUCCCAAACCAAACAUCCCCAUCCCGCCUCACCAAAGAUGUCAGCGGGUAUUUUCAGGAGCCCGGGGAAGGCAGGAGGGACAAAUAACGCCUUUGCCAUGGGGAACUGCCCUGCACGAGAAGAAUUAACCCAAAAAUAUUCUGAAGGAGGCAAACAAUCUUUUGCUGGAGAUGUUCAGAGCAGCAUUCAACAGAGAGCAACUACUUAUGGAAGACAAGAACAACUUAAAAAGUCAACUGGAAAUUAAAAAGUCAUAAUUUAAAGACUCUCCCUGGCUAGGGGAUAACACAGACAGCACCUGCAGCUCACUGAGGUGAUCCAAGAGCAUUUAUACUCAUUAAUGAAAAAAUCAAUCAAACCAAGCUCAUUCAACCCCUGCCCAUCCCACCACUGCUUUAAGGCCAACUUCAGCACUGCAGCCUCCAAACUGUGUGAAAAUGGUUAAAAGCUGCUUUAGCACUGUGACAUUUGGCCAAUGAAGGACUUCAAAAGAGAAUUCUGGCCACGACAGCAGAAGCAGCAAAGGUGGAUGUGACCAACCUCCUGACAACUGUGGCCUCUCAAAGCCCAGCCUGUAAAACCAGCCCAAACUCCCUGUCUAGACCCUCUUGCUCCUUACAGCAGAAUUCCUGCAGGGAUAUCUUUGCUGGCACUGACCCAAGAGCCAUCAGCUCCUCUCAGAGUGUAAAAGAGACCAGCUGCCCUCAUAGACCCACUAUAUUUAUUCCAAAUUAAAUCCAAGAUGCUUCUCACUUCA